rnacentral:rRNA from 1 species
UACGGAGGGGGCUAGCGCUGUUCGGAAUUACUGGGCGUAAAGCGCACGUAGGCGGCUUUGUAAGUUAGAGGUGAAAGCCCAGGGCUUAACCCUGGAAUUGCCUUUAAGACUGCAUCGCUAGAAUCGUGGAGAGGUGAGUGGAAUUCCGAGUGUAGAGGUGAAAUUCGUAGAUAUUCGGAAGAACACCAGUGGCGAAGGCGACUCACUGGACACGUAUUGACGCUGAGGUGCGAAAGCGUGGGGAGCAAACAGG